rnacentral:rRNA from 1 species
GAUGAACGCUAGCGGCAGGCCUAAUACAUGCAAGUCGGACGGGAUCCAUUGAUAGCCUGCUAUCAAUGGUGAGAGUGGCGCACGGGUGCGUAACGCGUGAGCAACCUGCCUCCAUCAGGGGGAUAGCCUCUCGAAAGAGAGAUUAACACCGCAUAAUAUCAACAGUUCGCAUGUUCAGUUGAUUAAAUAUUUAUAGGAUGGAGAUGGGCUCGCGUGACAUUAGCUAGUUGGUAGGGUAACGGCUUACCAAGGCGACGAUGUCUAGGGGCUCUGAGAGGAGAAUCCCCCACACGGGUACUGAGACACGGACCAGACUCCUACGGGAGGCAGCAGUAAGGAAUAUUGGUCAAUGGGCGGAAGCCUGAACCAGCCAUGCCGCGUGCAGGAUGACUGCCCUAUGGGUUGUAAACUGCUUUUGUCCAGGAAUAAACCUAAAUACGAGUAUUUAGCUGAAUGUACUGGAAGAAUAAGGAUCGGCUAACUCCGUG